AGGUUUUAUACUUCACCAAGGCAAACCUUGUUCCUUCACAAUGGAGGCUUCAACAACCAGCAGGAUGCCUUGCAAAUAAAUAUUUCUCUCAGAGCCUGUGUGGAUUUGGUAGUGUGUUUGUUUUCUUGAAGUAAGGCACAGUCUUUCUGGAUCAGUUAUCUGCAAAAAGCAUGAAGAAACUUCCAGAAUGGGAUAAAUUUUGUGAAGGGAAAGUCUUGAUGGCCAUCAACACACUUGAAGAGACAUUCCGAGGAAAGCUCUUCAAAUGAAAAGCUGUUCGAACUUAUUUUCUGACACAUCAAAGAAGUUCCUGGAGAGACAGUGGGAAUAUAUAACUAGCCAUCAUCACAUGCUUACA